AGAAAACAAUUGAAGUUAAAGUGAGCUUAAAGACAUCAGAAAACGACCACUAAUUAGCCCUAAUCUUCUUCGUUAUACUUUUGGCAACAUAUCAAACAUAAGUCAGAUACUCCACUUUGAAACCCAGCCACUAUACUUUGAGAGAGUUAAGAAGUGACGAUGUUAGUUGGUCUCACCUGACAGCAUGCAUCGACUACUCAAUAUGAGUGAGAAAACCCUCACAUGAAUCUCACUUCCAACCUUCAUGCCACUCCAUUUCGUGCCAAGCAGAGAAGUCCCCACCAAGACCUACUCACUCCAAUUAGAGACUGAAUGAAAAUGCAAUCCUAUGACUGUCCCACCAUUGUUCUUCAGAAACACAUAACUUUCUAGUUUCACAAGUUUACAGUUAAAGAGGAAUUUUGCUUGAGGAAAAAUUGUACCUCAAGUCUCACCUAUAACUGAUUUAGAUGAUCUUUAGAUGAAAUUUUGGACUCAGAACCGAUGCUAGCAUUGGUUAACACAUUUAUGGACUGUUGGGACGGAGUGAAUGUAUUUUUUAUGUGAGAAGGAGUGUUGUGCUGUUGAGAUCAAUGUAUUUUGCAUGUGAGAAGGACAUAAAUUUCAGGGGAGCAGAAUGUAGAAUGUUAUGGACAUUUUAGGGGAGCACAGUGUGGAAUGUUAUGCAACAUUCGUAUGUGGAAGUCCUGUCCUGAAACGUGGCUGUAUUUGAAGAUAGGCCCUUUAGGAAGGUAGGUAAAGUUAAAUAAGGUCAUACGGGUGAAAUAUGGGUAGUAUCCUUGGAGGAACAGACACUUAGGAUAUGCAUGAACAGAGGAAAAGUCAUGUGAAGACACAGCAAAAAAAGGGAACCAUCAACAAGCCAAGCAGAAGCCUCAUUAGAAAACAAACUUGCUGACAUCUUGAUCUUGGGCUUCUAGUCUUCAGAAC